UUGAAAUUGGUUUAUGCUUUUUCUUUAUAGACUUUUUUUGGAAAUACGCAUCAUUUUCUACCUAACAUCACUCAUUUGUUCUCUAUCUUUCAUUAUUCAAGCUAAUAGUUUUCUGGAGAGUACACAAAAACACAAAGGAACAAAGCAACUAUAUCAGAAUUUUCAUCAAGUGAUAAUAUCCCGAGAAUUUGGAAAUAAAGGAACUUGAAAGACAAUUUCAAUCAUGGAGAAUGAAGGACAAAGAGAGAAAGGGGAAGCAAACAACUUUAUGGCGUCAUUUUCUGCUCUUCGUGAGGACACUGUCAGCGUUCUGAAUUUCAUGGAGAGGUUAAAGAAUGAAGAAGGUCAAAAUGCUGCCAACAAAGCUGAUCAAAUUGAAAAGCUGAAACUUCAUCUGGCAGUUAUUUGUACAUAUGUCCAGCUUUCUCAUUGUGUUUUGGAAGAGUUUGAAGAUGCAAUGAGUGAUUCAAAACAAGAGGUUGAGAAUCUGCUUCAACAAAUUUUGGAUGAUGUUGACAACAAUGUCAGGUGUAAAUACAACAUGGAUCAGGUCCUUCCUAUCCUCAUGGAUAAUAUCGAUGAAUGUAUCAGCUCUUGUCAUCGUUCUACCAUGAAUGAGGUUCAGUUGAACUUCCUCCUCCUGAAUCUCCAUCAUAUAUCCGAUUUUCUUACUGAACGGAUAUUUCCGUUAGAGACUCAGUAUGAUAUUCUUCAGAAUGUGUCUGGCAACAUGAAAGAUUCCCAUGGGUGAUAGUGAAUGGUUGCAUUGAGCACAAGAUUGUUCAAUAUGUCUUGCCUCAGUUUCAUAUCAUGGCUGACAGAGUUGGACUCUUCCUUUGGGAUGAUCGACUCUUCAAGCUAGCACAUCUACUCAUGAAGAUAAUUCCUUGAACUGGAGAUCCUGAGAACUUGAAAGGAAGGGAAGGAGAAGUUACUUUGUUAGAAUGAAGAAAAUGAAGGAUAAAUAAAGGAGGAUGAAGCAAACAACUCAUCGAACCCUUCCCUGCUUCCCCAAGCUCUUCCUCCAUGCUCAGUUCACACCUCCUAGUUGGUGUGCCGCUGCUAUUCCUAACACUGCGAGUUUGCUGCUACCGAACGCCAGCGUCUUCAACUGUAAGUCUCUCUUUGAAACAUACAUGGGAUGAGCAAGAAGGAAGUCGAACAAAAGGUAAUAAAGUUACCGAGAAAAUCAAAUGCAAUAAGAAGUGGGAUAUUCGUAGUCCGAAGAGUUUGAAUUGUGAUGCAGGGUGGUGGAAUUUACGUCAACAAGAAUCAGCCACCGAUAAGCAUUUGGUGUUGAGGGGCUGCUGUCUCUAAUGAUCAAGAUGUUCAAAUAGUGCUCCUGACCUCAUUGCAACAGCCCAACAUGGCUAUCAGCCUCCUUCACUGAUGAGCACACUUCUCCUAUUCCUUUGUCAAGAAUCCUCAAGGUCCAUUAAAUAUAGGAUUGAUGAGCUUAACGAAGUGAAGUCUGUUAUCUAGCUGCUACUCAAUUAGAAAUGAAGCAACUUUUACUCAGAUACACAUCAUGGAAACUAUCACCUUAGAGGAUUGCAUCACAAAGUCUAAUGCAGGAAGGUUCGGAUGGAAAUGAAGAAUCUAUUGCUCGGAGUUAUUCAAGUGGUUAGAGUAGCGCAGAUAUAUAUCACCCUGACAUCUGCUUAAAUCAUCCAAGAGGAAUUCGAUAUCCAUUUUAGGUCGAAUAAUACAUGGAGGAAUUCUCGAUAUACCAACAAAAGCAAUUACGUGCAUGAAUGAACUUUUGAAAGGAUAAUUUUCGUAUGAAAUUUUGAACAUUAAUGUUGUUCGCCAAAGUGCAUGAACAACUUUUUGAAGGAAAAAACACAGAUAAGUGAUUUUUCUGAUAUUGUAAAAAGGAAAUAACAAAGAUAAGUGCUUCAUUUGGUGUC